rnacentral:rRNA from 1 species
GAUGAACGCUGGCGGCGUGCCUAAUACAUGCAAGUCGAGCGAACGGACGAGAAGCUUGCUUCUCUGAUGUUAGCGGCGGACGGGUGAGUAACACGUGGAUAACCUACCUAUAAGACUGGGAUAACUUCGGGAAACCGGAGCUAAUACCGGAUAAUAUUUUGAACCGCAUGGUUCAAAAGUGAAAGACGGUCUUGCUGUCACUUAUAGAUGGAUCCGCGCUGCAUUAGCUAGUUGGUAAGGUAACGGCUUACCAAGGCAACGAUGCAUAGCCGACCUGAGAGGGUGAUCGGCCACACUGGAACUGAGACACGGUCCAGACUCCUACGGGAGGCAGCAGUAGGGAAUCUUCCGCAAUGGGCGAAAGCCUGACGGAGCAACGCCGCGUGAGUGAUGAAGGUCUUCGGAUCGUAAAACUCUGUUAUUAGGGAAGAACAUAUGUGUAAGUAACUGUGCACAUCUUGACGGUACCUAAUCAGAAAGCCACGGCUAACUACGUGCCAGCAGCCGCGGUAAUACGUAGGUGGCAAGCGUUAUCCGGAAUUAUUGGGCGUAAAGCGCGCGUAGGCGGUUUUUUAAGUCUGAUGUGAAAGCCCACGGCUCAACCGUGGAGGGUCAUUGGAAACUGGAAAACUUGAGUGCAGAAGAGGAAAGUGGAAUUCCAUGUGUAGCGGUGAAAUGCGCAGAGAUAUGGAGGAACACCAGUGGCGAAGGCGACUUUCUGGUCUGUAACUGACGCUGAUGUGCGAAAGCGUGGGGAUCAAACAGGAUUAGAUACCCUGGUAGUCCACGCCGUAAACGAUGAGUGCUAAGUGUUAGGGGGUUUCCGCCCCUUAGUGCUGCAGCUAACGCAUUAAGCACUCCGCCUGGGGAGUACGACCGCAAGGUUGAAACUCAAAGGAAUUGACGGGGACCCGCACAAGCGGUGGAGCAUGUGGUUUAAUUCGAAGCAACGCGAAGAACCUUACCAAAUCUUGACAUCCUUUGACAACUCUAGAGAUAGAGCUUUCCCCUUCGGGGGACAAAGUGACAGGCGGUGCAUGGUUGUCGUCAGCUCGUGUCGUGAGAUGUUGGGUUAAGUCCCGCAACGAGCGCAACCCUUAAGCUUAGUUGCCAUCAUUAAGUUGGGCACUCUAAGUUGACUGCCGGUGACAAACCGGAGGAAGGUGGGGAUGACGUCAAAUCAUCAUGCCCCUUAUGAUUUGGGCUACACACGUGCUACAAUGGACAAUACAAAGGGCAGCGAAACCGUGAGGUCAAGCAAAUCCCAUAAAGUUGUUCUCAGUUCGGAUUGUAGUCUGCAACUCGACUACAUGAAGCUGGAAUCGCUAGUAAUCGUAGAUCAGCAUGCUACGGUGAAUACGUUCCCGGGUCU